rnacentral:rRNA from 1 species
AGUGAACGCUGGCGGUAGGCCUAACACAUGCAAGUCGAACGGCAGCACAGUAAGAGCUUGCUCUUACGGGUUGCGGGUGGCGGACGGGUGAGGAAUACAUCCGAAUCUACUUUUUCGUGGGGGAUAACGUAGGUGAACUUACGCUCAUACCGCAUACGCCCUUCGGGUGUAAGCAUGGGAUCGUUGGACCUUGCGCGGAUGAAUUAGCCGAUGUCGGAUUAGCUAGUUGGGGGGGUAAAGGCCCACCCUGGCGACGAUACGUAGCUGGUCUGAGUGGAUGGUCGGCCACACGAGAGGUGGGACAGGGUCCAGGGUCCUGCGAGAGGCAGCAGUGGGGAAUGGUAGACAGUGGGCGCAAGCCUGAUCCAGCCAGCCCGCGUGGGUGAAGAAGGCCUUCGGGUUGUAAAGCCCGUCUGUUGGUAAAGAAAAGCAGCAGGUUAAUACGCCGCUGUUCUGACGGUACCGAAAGAAUAAGCACCGGCUAACUUCGUG